UACGUAGGGUGCGAGCGUUGUUCGGAAUUACUGGGCGUAAAGGGCGCGUAGGCGGCCCCUUUUGUCGCGUGUGAAAGCCCCGGGCUCAACCUGGGAGGUGCGCGCGAAACGGGGGGGCUUGAGUUCGGGAGAGGAGCGUGGAAUUCCCAGUGUAGAGGUGAAAUUCGUGAGAUAUUGGGAAGAACACCGGUGGCGAAGGCGGCGCUCUGGACCGAGACUGACGCUGAGGCGCGAAAGCGUGGGGAGCAAACAGG
rnacentral:rRNA from 1 species